rnacentral:rRNA from 1 species
GACGAACGCUGGCGGCGUGCCUAAUACAUGCAAGUCGAACGCAGUGGGGACGGGUGAGUAACACGUGGGUAACCUCCCAUCAGAGGGGAUAACACUUGGAAACAGGUGCUAAACCGAUACUGAUGGAUGGACCCGCGGUGCAUUAGCUAGUGGGUGAGGUAACGGCUCACCAAGGCGACGAUGCAUAGCUGGUCUGAGAGGAUGACCGGCCACACUGGGACUGAGACACGGUCCAGACUCCUACGGGAGGCAGCAGUAGGGAAUAUUCGGCAAUGGGCGAAAGCCUGACCGAGCAACGCCGCGUGUGUGAAGAAGGUUUUCGGGUCGUAAAAUACUUUUGGUAGGGAAGCGGUAUCUAAAGAGAAAGCCACGGCUAACUACGUGCCAGCAGCCGCGGUAAUAC